GUGGGGAAUAUUGCACAAUGGGGGAAACCCUGAUGCAGCGACGCCGCGUGGAGGAAGAAGGUCUUCGGAUUGUAAACUCCUGUUGUUGAGGAAGAUAAUGACGGUACUCAACAAGGAAGUGACGGCUAACUACGUGCCAGCAGCCGCGGUAAAACGUAGGUCACAAGCGUUGUCCGGAAUUACUGGGUGUAAAGGGAGCGCAGGCGGGAAGACAAGUUGGAAGUGAAAUCCAUGGGCUCAACCCAUGAACUGCUUUAAAAACUGUUUUUCUUGAGUAGUGCAGAGGUAGGCGGAAUUCCCGGUGUAGCGGUGGAAUGCGUAGAUAUCGGGAGGAACACCAGUGGCGAAGGCGGCCUACUGGGCACCAACUGACGCUGAGGCUCGAAAGUGUGGGUAGCAAACAGGAUUAGAUACCCGGGUAGUCC
rnacentral:rRNA from 1 species